rnacentral:rRNA from 1 species
GACGAACGCUGGCGGCGUGCCUAAUACAUGCAAGUAGAACGCUGAAGGAGGAGCUUGCUUCUCCGGAUGAGUUGCGAACGGGUGAGUAACGCGUAGGUAACCUGCCUGGUAGCGGGGGAUAACUAUUGGAAACGAUAGCUAAUACCGCAUAAGAGUAGAUGUUGCAUGACAUUUGCUUAAAAGGUGCAAUUGCAUCACUACCAGAUGGACCUGCGUUGUAUUAGCUAGUUGGUGGGGUAACGGCUCACCAAGGCGACGAUACAUAGCCGACCUGAGAGGGUGAUCGGCCACACUGGGACUGAGACACGGCCCAGACUCCUACGGGAGGCAGCAGUAGGGAAUCUUCGGCAAUGGACGGAAGUCUGACCGAGCAACGCCGCGUGAGUGAAGAAGGUUUUCGGAUCGUAAAGCUCUGUUGUAAGAGAAGAACGAGUGUGAGAGUGGAAAGUUCACACUGUGACGGUAUCUACCAGAA